rnacentral:rRNA from 1 species
ACGUACACUCCUACGGGAGGCAGCAGUGGGGAAUAUUGGACAAUGGGCGCAAGCCUGCUACAGCCAUGCCGCGUGAGUGAUGAAGGCCCUAGGGUUGUAAAGCUCUUUCACCGGUGAAGAUAAUGACGGUAACCGGAGAAGAAGCCCCGGCUAACUUCGUGCCAGCAGCCGCGGUAAUACGAAGGGGGCUAGCGUUGUUCGGAUUUACUGGGCGUAAAGCGCACGUAGGCGGACUAUUAAGUCAGGGGUGAAAUCCCGGGGCUCAACCCCGGAACUGCCUUUGAUACUGGUAGUCUUGAGUUCGAGAGAGGUGAGUGGAAUUCCGAGUGUAGAGGUUAAAUUCGUAGAUAUUCGGAGGAACACCAGUGGCGAAGGCGGCUCACUGGCUCGAUACUGACGCUGAGGUGCGAAAGCGUGGGGAGCAAACAGGAUUAGAUACCCCAGUAGUCCC